AGUCCUGAUGCGCGAGCGCGUAGUAGUACAAGAGCUCCAUCGUGACCGCGGCGCUGAGCUCCUCGGGGGGUUUGAACAGCCCCACGAGCAACGUCGGGCGGAUGAAGUCGUCCACGAGACGUUUACUCAACCCCAUGCGUAUGAACAGGUCGUGCGCGGUCAUUCGAUCGUACGCGCGAAACGUCGCGUCGUCUCUCCCGAGGUCGAGCGUGGCGUACAGGAGGCCGACCAUGGACGCGCGGUCGCUCAAGGGCAGGCGACGGAAGUUAUCGAACGUCGCGAAGACCUGCCCGAGCGGCGAGGGGAGUCGCGGGAACUCGCUCGCGC
rnacentral:lncRNA from 1 species